rnacentral:rRNA from 1 species
AGCAGUCGCCGCGGUAAUACGAAGGGUGCAAGCGUUAAUCGGAAUUACUGGGCGUAAAGCGUGCGUAGGCGGUUUGUUAAGUCUGCUGUGAAAUCCCCGGGCUCAACCUGGGAAUGGCAGUGGAUACUGGCAAGCUAGAGUGUGUCAGAGGAUGGUGGAAUUCCCGGUGUAGCGGUGAAAUGCGUAGAGAUCGGGAGGAACAUCAGUGGCGAAGGCGGCCAUCUGGGACAACACUGACGCUGAAGCACGAAAGCGUGGGGAGCAAACAGGAUUAGAUACCCCCGUAGUCCCUGUCUCUUAUAC